GACGAACGCUGGCGGCGUGCUUAACACAUGCAAGUCGAACGGAAAGGCCCUGCUUUUGUGGGGUGCUCGAGUGGCGAACGGGUGAGUAACACGUGAGUAACCUGCCCUUGACUUUGGGAUAACUUCAGGAAACUGGGGCUAAUACCGGAUAGGAGCUCCUGCUGCAUGGUGGGGGUUGGAAAGUUUCGGCGGUUGGGGAUGGACUCGCGGCUUAUCAGCUUGUUGGUGGGGUAGUGGCUUACCAAGGCUUUGACGGGUAGCCGGCCUGAGAGGGUGACCGGCCACAUUGGGACUGAGAUACGGCCCAGACUCCUACGGGAGGCAGCAGUGGGGAAUAUUGCACAAUGGGCGGAAGCCUGAUGCAGCAACGCCGCGUGCGGGAUGACGGCCUUCGGGUUGUAAACCGCUUUCGCCUGUGACGAAGCGUGAGUGACGGUAAUGGGUAAAGAAGCACCGGCUAACUACGUGCCAGCAGCCGCGGUGAUACGUAGGGUGCGAGCGUUGUCCGGAUUUAUUGGGCGUAAAGGGCUCGUAGGUGGUUGAUCGCGUCGGAAGUGUAAUCUUGGGGCUUAACCCUGAGCGUGCUUUCGAUACGGGUUGACUUGAGGAAGGUAGGGGAGAAUGGAAUUCCUGGUGGAGCGGUGGAAUGCGCAGAUAUCAGGAGGAACACCAGUGGCGAAGGCGGUUCUCUGGGCCUUUCCUGACGCUGAGGAGCGAAAGCGUGGGGAGCGAACAGGCUUAGAUACCCUGGUAGUCCACGCUGUAAACGGUGGGUACUAGGUGUGGGGUCCAUUCCACGGGUUCCGUGCCGUAGCUAACGCUUUAAGUACCCCGCCUGGGGAGUACGGCCGCAAGGCUAAAACUCAAAGGAAUUGACGGGGCCCCGCACAAGCGGCGGAGCAUGCGGAUUAAUUCGAUGCAACGCGUAGAACCUUACCUGGGUUUGACAUGGAUCGGGAGCGCUCAGAGAUGGGUGUGCCUCCUUUGGGGUCGGUUCACAGGUGGUGCAUGGCUGUCGUCAGCUCGUGUCGUGAGAUGUUGGGUUAAGUCCCGCAACGAGCGCAACCCUUGUUCACUGUUGCCAGCACGUUAUGGUGGGGACUCAGUGGAGACCGCCGGGGUCAACUCGGAGGAAGGUGGGGAUGACGUCAAGUCAUCAUGCCCCUUAUGUCCAGGGCUUCACGCAUGCUACAAUGGCUGGUACAGAGAGUGGCGAGCCUGUGAGGGUGAGCGAAUCUCGGAAAGCCGGUCUCAGUUCGGAUUGGGGUCUGCAACUCGACCUCAUGAAGUCGGAGUCGCUAGUAAUCGCAGAUCAGCAACGCUGCGGUGAAUACGUUCCCGGG
rnacentral:rRNA from 1 species